rnacentral:piRNA from 1 species
CACUGUCUUGGUGACUGACACCGUGAAGU